CUCAAAGAUUAAGCCAUGCAUGUCUAAGUGGAGUAUUAUAAAGCGAAACUGCGAACGGCUCAUUACAACAGAUAUAAUUUACUAGUUCUUGAUCCUAUAUGGAUAACUGCGGUAAUUCUGGAGCCAAUACAUGCAUCAAGCCUCGGCCUUCGGGUCCGGGGUGCAAUUAUUGGAGCAAAACCAGUCUCGUACUGAUUGCUAACUCUGGAUAAUUCUGCUUAUCGCAUGGUCUUGUACCGGCGAAGUUUCUUUCAAGUAUCUGCUUUAUCAACUAUCGUUGGUAGUUUAUUGGACUACCAUGGUGUUGACGGGUAACGGAGAAUCAGGGUUUGACUCCGGAGAGGGAGCCUUAGAAACGGCUACCAUGUCUAAGGAUAGCAGCAGGCGCGAAAAUUACCCAAUAUCAAAACGAUGAGGUAGUGACGAGAAAUAACGAGAUCGUUCUCUUUGAGGUCGAUUAUUGGAAUGAGAACAAUCCAGACAUUUUAACGAGUACCUACGAGAGGGCAAGUCUGGUGCCAGCAGCCGCGGUAAUUCCAGCUCUCGUAAUGUAUAGAAUUAUUGUUGCGAUUAAAAAGUUCGUAGUUGGAUUGUUACGCAGACAUGGGUCCACCUUCGUGGUGCGUACUCAAUGUUUGCAUUUUGUUGGUUUUCGCGGCGUCGCAAGAUGUCGUGUUGCCAGCAGGAUUACUUUGAACGGCUCAAGUGCUUAAAGCGAGUCUUAUGACUGAAUACCGGUGCAUGGAAUAAUGGAACAAGGUUGCGGCCGAGUUUUAUUGGUUUUGUCGGCUGAAACAAUGGUUAACAGGAACAGCCGGGGGCAUUCGUAUCGCUGCGCGAGAGGUGAAAUUCGUGGACCGUAGCGAGACGUCCGACAGCGAAGGCAUUUGCCAAGAGUGUUUUCAUUAAUCAAGAACGAAAGUCAGAGGUUCGAAGGCGAUUAGAUACCGCCCUAGUUCUGACCGUAAACGAUGCCAACUGUCGAUCCGCUUGUGGAUUCUAUUCAUGAGCGGGGAGAUUCCCGGAAACGAAAGUUUUUCGGUUUCGGGGGAAGUAUGGUUGCAAAGCUGAAACUUAAAGGAAUUGACGGAAGGGCACCACCAGGAGUGGAGCUUGCGGCUUAAUUUGACUCAACACGGGAAAUCUCACCCGGCCAGUACAUCGUGAGGAUUGACAGACUGAAAGCUCUUUCAUGAUUCGGUGAAUGGUGGUGCAUGGCCGUUCUUAGUUCGUGGAUUGAUUUGUCUGGUUUAUUCCGAUAACGAGCGAGACUUUGACUAUUAAAUAGUGCACUUGUUGUUUUGCGAGUGAUCACUUCUUAAAGGAAUUUGUGGUUUCCAACCUCAAGAAAUUGAGCAAUAACAGGUCUGUGAUGCCCUUAGAUGUUCGGGGCCGCACGCGUGCUACAAUGGUGGUAACAGCGUGAUUGUCCUUUUCCGACAGGAAUUGGCAAACAGUUGAGAUAUUAUUAUGGCUGGAAUUGAGUGUUGAAAUUUUCUCUCAUGAACGAGGAAUUCCAAGUAAAUGUGAGUCAUUAACUUGCAUUGAUUACGUCCCUGCCCUUUGUACACACCGCCCGUCGCUGCCCGGGACUGAGUUACUUCGAGAAAACUAGGGAUCGUUGAAGUUCGAUGUUUCGGCAUUGUCUUUGAUGCGAACUAGUUUAAUCGCAGUGGCUUGAACCGGGCAAAAGUCGUAACAAGGUAGC
rnacentral:rRNA from 1 species